rnacentral:rRNA from 1 species
AUUGAACGCUGGCGGCAGGCCUAACACAUGCAAGUCGAACGAGUGGCGGACGGGUGAGUAAUGUCUGGGAAACUGCCUGAUGGAGGGGGAUAACUACUGGAAACGGUAGCUUAUACCGCAUACCCUCAGAUGUGCCCAGAUGGGAUUAGCUUGUUGGGGGGGUAACGGCUCACCAGGGCGACGAUCCCUAGCUGGUCUGAGAGGAUGACCAGCCCCACUGGAACGGAGACAGGGUCCAGACUCCUACGGUAGGCAGCAGGGGGGAAUAUUGCACAAUGGGCGAAAGCCUGAUGCAGCAAUGCCGCGUGGAUGAAGAAGGCCUUCGGGUGGUAAAGUACUUUCAGCGGGGAGGCGUUACCCGAAGAAGAAGCACCGGCUAACUCCGUGCCAGCCGCCGCGGUAAUAC